rnacentral:rRNA from 1 species
UACGUAGGGAGCGAGCGUUGUCCGGAUUCAUUGGGCGUAAAGAGCUCGUAGGCGGUUCGGUAAGUCGGGUGUGAAAUCUCGGAGCUUAACUCCGAAACUGCAUUCGAUACUGCCGUGCUUGAGGACUGGAGAGGAGACUGGAAUUUACGGUGUAGCGGUGAAAUGCGUAGAUAUCGUAAGGAAGACCAGUGGCGAAGGCGGGUCUCUGGACAGUUCCUGACGCUGAGGCACGAAGGCCAGGGGAGCAAACGGG